rnacentral:rRNA from 1 species
AUACGUAGGGGGCGAGCGUUGUCCGGAAUGAUUGGGCGUAAAGGGCGCGUAGGCGGCCCGGUAAGUCUGGAGUGAAAGUCCUGUUUUUAAGAUGGGAAUUGCUUUGGAUACUGUCGGGCUUGAGUGCAGGAGAGGUAAGUGGAAUUCCCAGUGUAGCGGUGAAAUGCGUAGAGAUUGGGAGGAACACCAGUGGCGAAGGCGAAUUACUGGACUGUAACUGACGCUGAGGCGCGAAAGUGUGGGGAGCAAACAGGAUUAGAUACCCUGGUAGUCCACACUGUAAACGAUGAAUGCUAGGUGUAGGGGGUAUCGACCCCUUCUGUGCCGCAGUCAACACAAUAAGCAUUCCGCCUGGGGAGUACGGCCGCAAGGUUGAAACUCAAAGGAAUUGGCGGGG